UACGGAGGGUGCGAGCGUUGUCCGGAAUCAUUUGGCGUAAAGGGCGCGUAGGUGGCCCGCCAAGCGUGCGGUGAAAGCUCGGGGCUCAACCCCGAGUCGGCCGUGCGAACUGGUAGGCUUGAGCACUGUAGAGGCAGGCGGAAUUCCGGGUGUAGCGGUGGAAUGCGUAGAGAUCCGGAAGAACACCGGUGGCGAAGGCGGCCUGCUGGGCAGUAGCUGACACUGAGGCGCGACAGCGUGGGGAGCAAACAGG
rnacentral:rRNA from 1 species